UGCACAUGAUGAUCUCUUUUUGCGGAAUCCGACUUUAAUGUGUGGAUACACACCUUGGAGAACUGAGCACUCG